CUACGGGCGGCUGCAGUGAGGAAUAUUGCACAAUGGAGGAAACUCUGAUGCAGCAACGCCGCGUGGAGGAUGACGCAUUUCGGUGUGUAAACUCCUUUUAUAUGUCAAGAAAAUGACGGUAGCAUAUGAAUAAGCUCCGGCUAACUCCGUGCCAGCAGCCGCGGUAAUACGGAGGGAGCAAGCGUUACUCGGAAUCACUGGGCGUAAAGGACGCGUAGGCGGGAUAGAAAGUCAGGUGUGAAAUCCUAUGGCUCAACCAUAGAACUGCACUUGAAACUUCUAACCUAGAGUAUGGGAGGGGAAGAUGGAAUUAGUGGUGUAGGGGUAAAAUCCGUAGAUAUCACUAGGAAUACCAAAAGCGAAGGCGAUCUUCUGGGACAAUACUGACGCUAAGGCGUGAAAGCGUGGGGAGCAAACAGGAUUAGAUACCCCCGUAGUC
rnacentral:rRNA from 1 species